GCUUUUGUAGCUCAGGGGUAGAGCAUCCGCCAGCUGGCGGAGAAGAGGUCACGGGUUCAAUUCCCGUCAACAGCU
rnacentral:tRNA from 2 species